rnacentral:lncRNA from 1 species
AUGGUGAAUGGGGAGUGGAAAAAGGAUGGUGCACAGGAUGAUUUCGAUUCAUAUGUCUAUAUCGUAAUUCCUAAUAUCAGCAGUGAAUGGCAAGUAUAUACUUCUUGGAGCAGAAUUAGGGCUUAUCCUUCAACAUUAAACAUCUAUGAGUCAAAGGCAAUUACGUUCAAUGCUUUUUUGGUGCUAAGUUAUAGCAGGCCCUUGACACUUAAAAGUUGUUAACAUGUUUCUGAAGUCUAGUGGCAUACAUUUGCGAAGUACUUCCUUGUUUUUUAUUUUCACUAGCGGUAAUUCAGUUUCUGAAAAAAGCCUUGAGUGUCUGCUGGCAUAUGUUGUAGGCUCUUUUCUGUAAGUGGGAAAUGUUUUGGUUGCUGUAGCAGUAAAUGUAAAGGAAUGAAAAGGUAGUGACUUUUUACUCCUUAUAUUACAUGUGGAGGCUUAGAAGGUGUCUUCAAUAUUAUUUAAAUCUGUAUAAUAACAUGAGUUUAUUAUUUGUUGUUUACAAAAUCUCAUUAAGGAAGCAAAUUUUUCCUGUAUUUUAGCAUUUGUGGAAAAAAAUGGGGGAAGAGAUAGAGAAAAGGAGAAAGAAGUAUGGAAAGCAUGGAGGCAAAAUUCAGAGCUUAGGGUUCUGAUUCAUAUUCCAGACUGACCUGAUAACUACAUGAGGAGGCCAUCUGUGCAUUUGAUUUUGUGACAGUAUUUGCUAUUCUCAGAUUCCCCUGAUUUUUUUUGGUCAAAAUAACACAAAAGCUGUUCACAGCAUUUUAAUAGAAGCCAAGAAAUGUGCCCUUCAUUAUUUUGAAAAGAAAUUGCAGGUACAGUUUCUGCUGAUUUCAGUAUAAUUUCAUUUUUUUUCCCCCCUGCUUUUGAUUGGGUGUUUACAGGUGGCUUUCCUCUAGUAUAUUCUUCUGUCACAUGAACUAUCAGCUUUUGCUAGGAAAAAUCCCCCUUGCUGUAGUUGCCAGGCUCGAGGUCUGCUCCUGCAGCAGUUCUGGAGCAAACGUGCCGGGUCGGUGGUGCAGCCUAGCACGUGGGAACAUGACAAAUUAUAAUAAUUACAUUCUUGUUCACGAAGUUUCUGCUUUGCAGGGGACUGGAGCUGGUGAUACUUGCUUGCAAUUAGCUUUGUGAACUGCUGUAAUUAUACAUUUGGAAAAUGACAGCAUUUUACUUUUCCUCAUUGUUCAAAGAACAGAUGACUAUAGACAAGAAGUACCUUGUAAUGGUUCUGAAUUACACUUAAGUGUUUGCUGUUUAAUACUGCUUAAUCCUGUGUUAUUGCUUUUAUUAUUUUUGAGUGUUUACUUGGGUUCAAUUUGGGGGAUUGUAUAACAAUUGAAGUGUCUGAUUGUGCUGGCUUCAAAUUCCAGUUAACAUACAAACUGCUAAAUCGUCCAUGCAAUUCUGUAUAUACACAUGCCAUAUAAGCCCAUCGCUAUUUACAUACACGCCAUGUAUGUGGAGCUGAAAUGGAGUUGAUAUCUUUUUCUCGUGCCUUUGACUGCUUCACUUGCUCUCUGCCUUUUAAUCUCUCUCUCCAGGAUUUACAGUGGCAUUUCAGGGGUUGCGAAUAACUGCCAUUAAAAACAAAAACAGAAAAAUAAGCUCAGAGGGAAACGCUUUCUCUUGUGGUGCUUCUCCUCCUCCUCCUGCAUGUGGGGUUCCCCUCAGCCCUAACAGAGAGGCAGAAUAUGUGCCUUUGGUUAAUGUGUGUGGGAUGGGUGAAUUGUGCUACUGCAUGGGAGAGGUGCCUCGGUGUCAUUUUCAGUUUGUAAAGACAACACAUGACUAUAGAAUGGAGGUUAAUAUGCAUUAUAUGUUACUAAAGCAUAUUUUUCUGAAGUUUUGAAAUGUUAUUUGUUCUGUUUCUCCAAUUUUCUUCAUAAAGCCAGUUUUUGUAGUACAUAACUAUAAAUAUCUUUUUUUUUCAGAAGAGCUAGUUUACAGGAAGAGCUGGGAAAAUUAAGGUUUUCACAUUGUACUGUCUUGUGAAGCGAUGUUAUUUAGACAGAAAUGGCAGCCCAAACCAUCUCCUUAUGCUGGGAGGUUUAUGUUUAGAAAACAUCUUUUUUUUUUGUUUGUUUGUUUCUGGUGCAAACUGGAUCACCAGCUCUCACCAAAGGAUGGUGUUGGCUGCAGCUUUGUGCAUGCUUAGAGAGUGGCUCCAGGUAGUAUCCAGGGGAUUGAUACAGAGCUGUCUUAUACUUUGCUUAGAAUUAUAAACCUGAAGACAUAAAUCCUGAUGUUUUUAAGAUCUGUUUAGGCUUUCAUUACCUGUGCAUCAUGAUACCUCAGAUAUAAACAAUCAAAAAUUUGGGACUAUGUGAAACGUAGUAUGAAGUCUAAGUGUGAUUUAUUGAGCAAAAUGCUCAGAUUUUGGAGGUGAAGAUUAAAGGUAAGAAUUUGAAGACUACUUCAGCUGCAGAGCAGAUGUGGCUAAGAUGAAAAUAAUAGUGUUUCUGUUUGGAUGCAGCACAAGACAUUAACAGUAUACUGUUUCCAGUAACAUAAUGAGUCAUGAGAAUUGCGGAGGGUGGAAAUUCCUAUUAUAAACUCCAGCAUUAAUGUACUUGUUUAAAAUACUGAGAACAUUUCCCCCUUUCCUUUUAUGUAGCAUUUAUCUAUGCACUUCAGUUAGGGUUCCAGGCUUCAUUUUUCCACCAUGCACUAGAAGAAAUCUGGCCUUAUUAAAUCCCAAGUCUUUUCAAUGUCUAUCACAAAUGUAAAUGAACAGUCUGUAGUGUUGCAUGCUCUCCAGAUUGCUCUGAUGAUCAUGUUGCCAUGGCAAUAACAGAGCAUACAGGUUCAUGAGACAGCAUUAGUAAUGCAGCAGUUUGAAACUUAAUCAAUGUACUGCUACUUCUCUGUAUUUCAAUAUCACUUCAGGAAAAUUGAAUUCUAGUCAGUUGUCAGUCCAGUUUAUUUCCUAUGGAUUUCUUCUACAAAAUUUCCCUCUUUAUUCUAGACACUGAUCAUGAUACAGUAAUUGAAAUCUGUAGUGGUCUGUCAUACUAAUUAGAUGACUGUCUUGUAGCAGGCAAUCUUUGGCUGUUGUAUUCGGCAGCAAAUAGAUGAGAAAUAUUUUGGUCUGAAUAUAUUUGUGUUUACAUUUUUUGUGCAAAAAAAAAUCUCUUCAGAAGAAUAAUCUUGGACAGUUUUGUUUAUUUUGAAAAAAUUUAAGAAUGAUGUGGAACUAGAAGAUGACUUUACCUGUUAGAAGUAAGGUAAAGCUGUCAAGAACAAGCAAAUGAAUGUUGUCUCCUAGAUCUUAAGCAAUACACUUGAGGAAAAGGUAUUUUACACUUACAAAAGCAUUAAUCAAAAUAUGUUCACAGCAGUACUUCAGGUUCUCUCUGAAAUAAUUUUAACUUCUAAAAUAAUGUCAACAAAUAAUUGUUGAUAAUUAUUAUAUUGAUAACAUCAUUAAGGCAAUCAGCCAGUUGGGGAUCUAUAUAUAGUUUUAGAGAUGAACAAUGAUAAAUAGUUAAAAAAAAAAAAACAAAAAACAAAAAACACAAAGGUGUUCACAUGGCAAGACUUUGUUUUUGUGUUAUCAUAUGUAUUCAGGAAUACAAUAAAAACCUUAAUUUUUCUCUUGGUAUGAAAAAU